AACGGCGAGUGAAGCGGCAAGAGCUCAAAUUUGAAAUCUGGCCUCCUCCGGGGUCCGAGUUGUAAUUUGCAGAGGAUGCUUCGGGUGCGGCCCCCGUCUAAGUUCCUUGGAACAGGACGUCAGAGAGGGUGAGAAUCCCGUCUUGGGCGGGCGGCCCGCGCCCGUGUGAAGCUCCUUCGACGAGUCGAGUUGUUUGGGAAUGCAGCUCUAAGCGGGUGGUAAAUUUCAUCUAAAGCUAAAUACUGGCCGGAGACCGAUAGCGCACAAGUAGAGUGAUCGAAAGGUUAAAAGCACCUUGAAAAGGGAGUUAAACAGCACGUGAAAUUGUUGAAAGGGAAGCGUUUGCGGCCAGACUCGGGGGCGGGGUUCAGCGGGCGCUCGUCGCCSGUGCMCUCCCCGGCGCCCCGGGCCAGCAUCAGUUUCGACGGCCGGUCAAAGGCCCCCGGAAUGUGUCGUCUCUAGGGACGUCUUAUAGCCGGGGGUGCAAUGCGGCCCGUCGGGACUGAGGAACGCGCUCCGGCUCGGAUGCUGGCGUAAUGGCCGUAAGCGGCCCGUCUUGAAACACGGACCAAGGAGUCUAACAUCCACGCGAGUGUUCGGGUGUCAAACCCGUGCGCGCAGUGAAAGCGAACGGAGGUGGGAGCCUUUGGGCGCACCAUCGACCGAUCCUGAAGUCUUCGGAUGGAUUUGAGUAGGAGCGUGGCCGUUGGGACCCGAAAGAUGGUGAACUAUGCCUGAAUAGGGUGAAGCCAGAGGAAACUCUGGUGGAGGCUCGCAGCGGUUCUGACGUGCAAAUCGAUCGUCAAAUUU
rnacentral:rRNA from 1 species